ensembl:lncRNA
CAGAAAUGAUAUAUAGAUAUUAAGAGCAUAAUAAGGGCUUAUUGUGGACAGAGACAUGCCAAUAAUUCUGUCAACUAAGACAAAGUGGACAAGGUCCUUGGAUGACAAACUACCGAAGCUCACUCAAGAAAAGAAGACAAACAGCCUUAUGUCUGUUAACAAAAUUGAAUUUGUAGUAAAAACCAAAGCACAGAUAAAAUUCCAGGCCCAGGGAGCUCAACUGGGGGAAUCCACCAAAUAUUUAAGAAAUAAAAUGGGGCACCUGGGUACCUCAGUCAGUCAUGCAACUACCUUCAGCUCAGGUCAUGAUCUCAGGGUCCUGGAUUUGAGCCCCACGUUGGGCUUCCUGCUCAGUGGGGAGUCCGCUUCUCCUUCUGCCUCUCCCUCUCCCCUUACUCACGCGUGCACUCGCUCUCUCUCACUCACUCAAAUAAGUAAAUAAAAUCAAGAAAAGAAAGAAAAAGAAAUCAAACCAAUUCUAGACAAACUGUGCAGAGAAGUGGAUGAGGGCCUGCCCACAAGUGGCCAGAAGUCUCUGCUACCAAAACCAGACAAAGACAUUCUCCCAAAAUAAAAUAUAAUAAUAUAUAAUAUCUUUCACAAGCAUGGGUGUAAACAUUCUUAACAUAAUGUUAAUAAAUUGAAGCUAACCAAUAUUUAAAACAAUAUUUAAAAAGAUAAAUCACAACCAACUGGGGUUCAAUGCAAGGUUGGUUUAAAAUUAAACUAUUGGGGAUGCCUGGGUGGCUCCAUGGUUGAGCAUCUGCUUUCAGCUCAGGUCAUGAUCCCAGGGUCCCAGGAUCGAGUCCUGCAUUGGGUUCCCUGCAGGAAGCCUGCUUCUCCCUCUGCCUAUGUCUCCUCCUCUCUCUCUGUGUGUGUCUUUCACGAAUAAAUGAAUAAAAUCUUUUUAAAAUAAUCAAAUUAAAUUAAAAUAUCAACUAGUAUAAUCCACCAUAUUAAUAGGCAGAAAGGAAAAUGCACAUGUCACCUCAAUGCAGAAAAAGCAGCAUCCAUUCCCAGCAAAUUAAAAACAGAAGGGAACUUUUUCUUUUUUUUUUUUUAAAUUUUUUUUUUAAUUUUUAUUUAUUUAUGAUAGUCACAGAGAGAGAGAGAGAGAGGCAGAGAUACAGGCAGAGGGAGAAGCAGGCUCCAUGCACCGGGAGCCUGACGUGGGAUUCGAUCCCGGGUCUCCAGGAUCACGCCCUGGGCCAAAGGCAGGCACCAAACCGCUGCGCCACCCAGGGAUCCCCUCCUUUGAUUUCUUUAUCAAUAAUAUCCACCCAUCCAUUCGACUUCAGCUGCUUGUGGCCUGCCUGGUCUUUUCCAGGACCCAAGAAUUACCCCACAUCUGAANAUUCACUGGGGCCUACAACCACUGACUCUUUCUUCUUAUUAAUUCUGAUUCCCGUUAUCUUGAUUUCUCUCCUCACCCACUUCAGAAUCUAUAAUUCAUAAUUUCAUUGAUAUUCUUACCGUAGUCUAUGCUCUCUUGACAGAUCUUUUUAUUCUGCUUUCCUGGGUGAAAAAUCCCCAGUAUGAGAGAUUCUAACAAUUUGACUUUCUGAUGUUGAUGAAUGCUGCUUAAAAAAAAAAAAAUUCAUACAACCAGGAAGAUACAAAUUAAUACCCAUAAUUCACAAUACCUGUAAGACUAUUCAUGGUGAUAUUUUUUAUUAGAGUUAGAGAAAUAUGCGAGACAACCUUAAUGCACGUAAAUAAGGAUUUAGGCAAAUUAUGGUGCAGCCAAUCCUAGAUAAUGAAAAGGAAAUAUCCAGAUGUAAAAAAUAAGGAGAGAUAAGCACUUGAGGUGAUGUUAAUGGCAGUCUAGGAUCGGUUGGGGUGCAGAUUGUUAAAUUUGUUAACUGCUUGGAGCUUAGGUUUUGUUGCUUUUCUAUAUGGAACUAAAACAACUGUUAUCACAAAGAAAUGGCAAGGCCUCCUACUGAGAUCUGAGUUUAAAAAAAAAAUUUCUCCUGAGAUAUUAAAAUCUUGUGCCUCGAAUGCCUGGGUGGCUCAUGAGCUGAGCAUCUGCCUUAGUCUCAGAGGGUGAUCCUGGCAUCCUGGGAUUGAGUCCUGCUUUGGGCUCCCUGCAGGGAACCUACUUCUCCCUUUGCUGCCUGCUUCACUACUGCCUCUCUCUCUCUCUCUCUCUCUUUCUCUCUCUCUCUCUUUCUUUCUCUCUGCAUGUGUGUGUGUCUCUCAUGGGUAAAUAAAUAAAAUAUUAAAAAAAUAAAAGAAUUCUGU